UUGCUCAGUUUUUGAUCCUCCACUAAAGUCGUCCUCCUGAGUUCCUCGGUCUAAUCUCCUAAUAUUACAACCCAUUUCUUGCCGAAAGAAGGGAGCAUGUAAUUGAAGCUAUUACUAGCAUUGAUCUCCUUAGUUGAAUUUAUUUUGUUCUGGAUCACACUCCAAAACUUACAUUCAUCCCAAUCAGCGAAAUACAAUAACAAAGCCAGAAAACGGAGGACGAAGAAUAUUUAUGAGUUCUGCCAUGUUCUUCUAUUCUUUCUUGGUCAGAAGAAAUGUGUAUGAAGACAAGAUGUUACUUGCGAUUAUUUAGAUUUGACUGAGCAAAAAAGAUCAUCGCGGGAUCCAUUAUGCCAUAUGAAGUGGCAUGCUUCUGUUGGGUACUGGCUCAUGAUAGUUGUUCGACUGAUCGACUAAAACAAAUUUGCAGAAGAAAGGUAUCUAGAUGUGCAGCAGGUGUAUAAAACAGUUCAGGCGAAGCUUUCUGUCAAGAAAAGGAAAGAAAGUGGUUCGGAUCUUACAUGGUCGAGCAGGGAUGCAGUACUAACUUGCAGGACUAGGGAACUUAAUAAUGAUCAAUUUGAGCAAUUGUUUGAUGGUUAUAUUGCGAGAGGUGAGCUGAAAAUAUGCAGUAAUUGAGGCUCUUGAUUGGUUUUCGGAAGGCACGUGAUGUCUUUAAGAAUUUUUGGGAAAUAAUAUAAGAAUUCAGCCAUUGUACCCA